AACGAACGCUGGCGGCGUGCCUAACACAUGCAAGUCGUGCGAGAAAGUUCCUUCGGGAGCGAGUAAAGCGGCGCACGGGUGAGUAACACGUAGGUAACCUGCCCCCCAGUCUGGAACAACUAGAGGAAACUCUAGCUAAUGCCGGAUGAGACCACGAUCCCUUCGGGGGUUGCGGCCAAAGAUGGCCUCUACUUGUAAGCUAUCGCUGAGGGAUGGGCCUGCGGGCCAUUAGCUUGUUGGUGAGGUAACGGCUCACCAAGGCUGUGAUGGCUAGCUGGUCUGAGAGGAUGACCAGCCACACUGGGACUGAGACACGGCCCAGACUCCUACGGGAGGCAGCAGUGGGGAAUAUUGCGCAAUGGGCGAAAGCCUGACGCAGCGACGCCGCGUGGGUGAUGG
rnacentral:rRNA from 1 species